rnacentral:lncRNA from 1 species
AUACAUACUUUUUUUUAAUAUUAACAUAACUCUUAAACAAAAUUACAAUUUUGAAAUCAAAAUAAGGUCUUUCUAUGCUGUGCUCAUUCUGUGAAAUGGCACCUUUAAUGAUUGGUCAUUGCCUAACAAAUAUAAGUUGAGGCAUUCUUUAGAAAGCUAUUAUUUAGUUUCACUAUAUAUUUGGCUAAUCAACAUUUAAUUUCUCGCUAACGAAUAUAAUAGAUCAAGUAUCUGAUCAAAUCAAAUUGUGUGAUAAGUGGUAUGAUGACAAAACAGGUUUAAUACACUUAUUAGGUAUAAAUCUAGGGUAAUGAUGUAUAACAGGUUUUAAAACAUAGAACUACAGAUAAAAUUUAAAUGAAUCUUAAUAAAUUGAAAUAUAUCAGUUAUAAUGGUAUUGGUAAACUUUGUGUUUUAAUCUUUGUAAUUUUGUUUUACUUAAAAUUAUUUCCUGUUAAUUAUUUUACUUUAUUAUAAAUAUAUUCAAG